rnacentral:rRNA from 1 species
CAACUGCAUUGUUGUGAGCAGUUGGGCGCUGCAUCUCCAGAUUGGGACAGUCCUAGCUUGCAAGCAACAAUGUUGUGCAUUUGCAGGUCGAGUGCGCCGAGACUUUCGAGAAGGCGAUAUGAGCUCAAUUUUGAGGCCAGCUUGCUGGUACCCGGAUUGGAGGAAUGUUGUUCGUUUUGGAUGUGAAGAGGGGAAAGGUUUUCGGGCUCGUAUGGGUUCGAAUUGGUGUGGGGUGGCAGUUGCAUGCAACAUGUGCCUUCUGCCAAUUCGGUCCUGUGCGAGCUCACAAUCCCACUCUCGGCGUAAAAGUUGGUCAUCUAUCCGACCCGUCUUGAAACACGGACCAAGGAGUUUAUCGUGUGCGCAAGUCAUUGGGUGUUGAAAACUCAAAGGCGCAAUGAAAGUAAAGAAUCCGCAAGGAUACGACGUGUGAUCUGAGCAAUCACGAUUGCCUGGAGCAACAUGGCCCCAUUCUGGUCGCUUGCGACGGGGUGGAGGAAGAGCGUACGCGGUGAGACCCGAAAGAUGGUGAACUAUUCCUGAGCAGGAUGAAGCCAGAGGAAACUCUGGUGGAAGUCCGAAGCGAUUCUGACGUGCAAAUCGAUCGUCUGAC